rnacentral:tRNA from 1 species
GGUGGCUCAGUGGUAGAGCGCUCGCCUCCCAUGCAUGAGGCCCUGGGUUCGAUUCCCCAGCACCA